UGCUCCUAGGUGCCGACGACAGCUGCGUAGGUAAAUUUUGCUCGAGUCCGACAAAAAAAUAUCUGGGAAUGCAGCCUUCCGCUCUACUUCCGCUUCACGAACUCUACGCAUGACGUUACGCAUAGAACUGUAACGCAAAGAGUAGCCUGCUGUAUUUAUUUUGUUCAAUGCUUGCCCAUCUGCAUUUCGGUGCGACUGGGCAAGCAUGGACUGAUCGAGCUUCUUUUGCUGAAUUCCCCCCCCCCCCCCCCUUUUUUUUCUUGACCCACCACGACUGUGAAUACAGGACAUGCCGCAUUUGAACGCUAACAAUGAGCGGGCAGUCACCCCUACCUUGCCCACCUGCUGCAUGUUUUGACAAGACACGCCCGAGGCUGCCCAUGGUUGCAGUGUUGGUGUGUUUCUGUAAAUGACUUAAACCCCUAUGAUGCAUGUAUAACUUCUUGAAACUUUAGAAUAAAUAAAAACUUAAUUACUCGGAAUCCA